rnacentral:rRNA from 1 species
AACGUAGGAGACAAACGUUAUCCGGAGUUACUGGGCGUAAAGGGCGUGUAGGUGGUUUUGUAAGUCUGGCGUGAAAUUUUUCGGCUUAACCGGGAAAGGUCGUCGGAUACUGCAAGGCUAGAGGACGGUAGAGGCGUGUGGAAUUCCUGGUGUAGCGGUGAAAUGCGCAGAUAUCAGGAGGAACACCAAUGGCGAAGGCAGCUCACUGGGACGGUAUUGACGCUGAGACGCGAAAGCGUGGGGAGCAAACAGG